AUUUUCUGACCCUAGUACUUACAAAACCUCAGCUUUCCUUCCCUGGAGUACUGUGUGCAGUUCUCCAUGUCUGCAUGGAACAAAUGCAGUCGAAGGCUUCUGAGGUCACCAGAGGAACAGAGGGCGUGAGACGUGGCUAGAAAAGCCUGUUUAGUCUAAACGUGUUGAAACUUGCCUGUAAAGACAAGCAGAAAUGGAGUAGUGGGAAAAAGAUGUUUAAGCUGAAUAUGAAUACUGGUGAGGACCCAUGAAUGCAUUUUCAUUAGGUUCCUUGUUCCCAGGCUGCCUCCUUGUCUCCUCCCUCCUGUCCCGCUGUUGUGCAGGUGGUGUGUACGUGGGUGUGUAGAGAACCACAUCAGGAAGCUCAUUUGAGCAGGCAAUCCUCUCCGUUUGCUCCUUCCAACCUGGAUCAGCAUCCUGAUUGAAUCUAUUGUGUUGGCACAGUGAGCAGUGAAAAAUCUAGCUGCUGAAAAUGUGGCUGGAUUAUCUCACAUGAGAAACAGCCCAGGUUCUUCCAGUCCUUGAGGCUCCAUCAGGACCGUGAUGUAUAGAUAUAUGGGAACUGUAGUGGAUGCAGUACAGGAAAAUUAACUGAAGGGAUCUCCUGCCAUUGUAAAGGCAGAUGGAGGUAAUAAAAGCCAUCCUUGGGAAAGGAAUGCCUGGAAAACAAUAUGGCAGGCUGGAUGGAUGAAGUAUCCACACAGAAAUUCUUGGAAGAAAAUCAGAGAGAAAUCACGGCAAUACUGGUUGUCAACCUGAUCAGAGUGACCUUCUGUCCAAGUCUCUUCGCUGUCAUACUGCCACUGACAAAAACUGUCUCAUCAAACAGGGUGGAAAAGGUCUCUUUAUGA
rnacentral:lncRNA from 1 species